GAGAACAACGCGUGCAAAGAAAUGGGAAUGGAAUGCGAUUUCUCGCUCGGCGCUGCCGUGUGCAUUGACAUAAAUCGCACGACAUGCAAUGAAGAAGAGAUGAAAAUAUGCAGAUCUAGGGGGAAAAAGUGCGACUUCACAGCGCACGCACCAGUGUGUAUCGAUACAAGCCGUAAGGCUUGCGAUCGGGAGGAGGUUCGAAGAUGUUCAGCCCUCGGCAAGGAGUGCGAUAUGGUGGGAGGGGCGCCCUUGUGUCAUGGUAAGGUGCUCUACUUGCAAGAAAACUUUAAACACCUUAAAUUGCUGAAGGUGCAGCAUUGUUAAGUUAGCUUGUUUGUUUGCCGUGUGUUUCUCUAGUUAUAAUGUUUUUCCGACU